UCGAACAGACCUAAAUUUUUAGCUUCUACACCAAAAUUAAAUUUUAAUCCAACAUCGAGGUCGCAAUCUCUUUUUUCGAUAAGAACUCUCAAAAAAAAUUACGCUGUUAUCCCUAAGGUAAUUUAUUCUUUUAAUCUAAAUCUUAGGAUCAAAUAUUCACAAAUAAAUGAUUUAAUAUAAAAAAGUUUUUUUAAUUUUUUAAUCACCCCAACUAAAUUAAUCUAUCUAUAAAAAUUAAUUAAUACUAUACAUUUAUAUAUAAAAUUAAUAAAACUCUAUAGGGUCUUCUCGUCUUUUAUAAAUAUUUAAGCUUUUUAACUUAAAAAUAAAAUUCCAAUUAAUUUAAAUAGAGACAGAUUUUUUCUCAUCAAACCUUUCAUUCCAGCUUUCAAUUAAAAAACUAAUGAUUAUGCUACCUUUGCACGGUCAAAUUACCGCGGCCAUUUAAAUCUUCAUUGGGCAGGCCCGACCUUAAAUUAUAAACAAAAG
rnacentral:rRNA from 1 species